AAUCGUAACAAGGUUUCCGUAGGUGAACCUGCGGAAGGAUCAUUAC
rnacentral:rRNA from 1 species